rfam:Capsicum annuum cultivar Zunla-1 chromosome 4, whole genome shotgun sequence
GGAGCAUAAUGAUGAUUAAAUAAUUCAUCCGAUCUUUGAUGAAAGGAAUACCAACCUCCUACUCAUUCUGA